UACAGGGGGGGCAAGCGUUGUUCGGAAUUACUGGGCGUAAAGGGUCUGUAGGUGGCCAACUAAGUCAGACGUGAAAUCCCUCAGCUUAACUGGGGAACUGCGUCUGAUACUGGAUGGCUCGAGUGUGGGAGAGGAAUGCGGAAUUCCAGGUGUAGCGGUGAAAUGCGUAGAUAUCUGGAGGAACACCGGUGGCGAAGGCGGCUACCUGGACCGGUUCUGACGCUGAGGCGCGAAAGCGUGGGUAGCAAACAGG
rnacentral:rRNA from 1 species